rnacentral:lncRNA from 1 species
AUGUUCCCAGGGAGGAAAUGGCCCCUUGGAGCCCACCCCAUCCCUGCUGGAGUCCAGGGCCACUUCCUGCCCCACGUGGGCCUUGGUCCUGCCCCUGAUUCUGCCAGCCCAGGCAGACCCCAGACUUCCUGCACGCAGCAGCAUGGAGAGGCAGGGACAUCUCGGCCUCACUCUCCUGGCAGGCACAGUGCAACUCGCCAGACCCGUGGGCCUGAGGGCAUCCCCUGGGCCGCCUGGUCCCUCUGCUCUGGCAUCACCUGCUGCCCCCAGAGCCAUCUCAACAGGGCCCUCAGGUGUCCCAGCCCAGCUCUGGAAGCUGUGUCAGAGCGCCACCCUGGCUACGGCAGAGGUGGGCCUGUCCACACCCACAGGGCAGGCCUGCAUCCACAGGGUCCUGUGGCAGAGGUCAUGACCCCGCUCCGUCGGCAGCCUCAUCUCCAGGAGAGGUCCCUCCUUGGCCCAGCUCUCCUUCUCCACCCAGGUCCCUCGCCCACCAGCUCCUCACACCCCAUUCAAUGGGGUUUCCUGCCCCGCCGAUCCCACGUCGGGGCACGUCGCCUGGCCACCCUCCUCCACUCCCCGCCCCAGGAAACACGUAGCUGGGGGCUGUGGGGCUUCAGGACUGAGUUGGAGAAGUUGAGGGCAGGGCUGGGGGCUCUGGAGGGAAGUGGGAGGGCCCCAGCCCAGCCCGUUCUGAGAUUCAGGAAGUGGGGGUCUCAGAAGCUUCCUCUUGGCCAGACUUGCUCCCAGUGGGGCUGGGCAGCUGGGGGGUCAGAGGCCUGGCCACAGCUGCCCCUUCCUUUCCAGCCAGUCACCAGCUGGGUGGCCUGUACUGCCGCCGGCCUCAGGCUGGGUAGCUGGGUGUCCCUCGGGCCCUGCAGGUGGCCGGCAGUCAGGGCCGGAAGGUCUCUGAGCAGUUCAGGCUGGAAGCAUGUCAGCUGUGGCCUCUGUGGGGCCGUCAGCACCAUCAGCGCCCCAGCCCUCCCGGCAGGAUUCGCCAGCAGAUGGGAUGGCAGGGCCCAGGAGUGCCCGGUGGGCCCACCCCUCCCCAGGCCUGUGUUUCUCCCAGCCGGAGCUCCCCUGAGCCUUGGUGUGCCCAUCUGUACAAGGUGA